CGGGGAGGUGUCUCUCGCUUGGGUCUCCUGCUCGGGAUCGAUCUACCCUUAUCCCCUUUUCCAAAGCGGCGCAAACAAUUACCAGCACGUUCUCAGCGCUAGGUCUAAUUGGGUGAGUUUUUAUUGUAGAAAUGCGCCCCUGAAGAUGUGAGACGCGUAGGUGGGCCCCUGCGCCUUUCCACCGGCCUCCCACUGCCCGUGCUCACAGAAGAAACUGGGUCCUUAGACCCAGGCGGGACCCACUGAAACCCCGCGUUCAGUCAUUUCCCAGGGGGAUGCGGCCCCCCAGUGCCAACCUUCCAAAGUUCAGGUGAGUUCACGACGCUCGGAUCCUAGUGGGGUCCUCCUCGGUGUCAAGGAGCAAGAGAGGCCGUAGCAGCUGUGGGAAACAGCCACAGGGCCUGCGAGUCCAGACGGGUAGCUCCAGGCUAGUUGCACGCUUGCGGUUCCUGCCCCUUCCGUGUGCAAAGUAAGGAAGUCAGCAGGCGGCGAGCAAGCAAGACGGGCUGGCGCGCCGUCUUUCAGGAAGGUUUCCCGACCCGACCGCCGUCUUUCGGGAAGGUUUCCCGACUGGACCCUCUGUCCAGAGGAAGAAAGAUUUGGCCAGGGGAUCAGAAUCACGGUACCUACAGGUACUGGGAUCGAGACCCUACACAGGCUCCCGACGCCUCGGUCUCCCUUUCCUCUCGGGUUGCCACUCUAGUUCAGGAAGGGUCUUUGGGUCAGGGCACCGUGUUCCCAGGGGCCAGCGAUCCCCGGUGUCGUGCCCUCCCUACCAGGCUCAAGCUGGCUGCUCUUGGCUAGGUCGGGACGGGGCGCCCGGCGGCCGUGGCUCAGUCCCAAGCUACACCGGCCGCGUCUUCCAGGGCGCGCGGGCGUCGCGCAGCGAGCGGUCGUGGGGCAGCGCGGCGAAGGCCGAAUGGCGCAGCUGGCAACCGAUGAAGAGGACGACGAGCGCCACCGAGAGCAGCAGCAGGAAGAAGAGCAGCAGUUGGGAAGAUGUGGCAAAACAGGACUUAUAUUCCUUAUGGCAACGAUGGGCUGAGCUGAGUGUCUGCAGCCUGCUUUAGGCAGGGCACGGCUGUGCAGUCUGUCAUCGUCCCUCGUCACUCCCAUCAAUGCUGGCACCAACCUCACUUCUAUUUAUCGCCUCAUCUGAUCGGCUGUUUCUUAUAGCAGAAACGUCUGCAAGGCAUGUGAAUUUGUAACCAUCACCCUCCUCACAGGGUUGCUGUGAGGAUCCGGUGGACUGAUGCAUGCAAAGCCCCGAGCACAGUGCCUGGUACACGGCAAAAGCUGAAUACUUCUGGCCAGCCCUAGGAAUAUUUCCUUGGGAGCAGAGGGCUCUUCUGGAAGCUUCUGGAAGAUGAAUGGCAUCUUCGCACACCUGCUCCGAACAGGCAUUGUUUGGGACUCAGCGCCCUCUGGUGGCUGCUCUCCCCACUCACACUUAGCCUCUUCCUUGGUUGGGGGGACACUUUGAGGCCUCAUUCCUGCCCCUCCCCUUCCUUUCACAUGGAGGAAAGUUCUAGAAUGGGGUGGGAGAAAACUUUCCACUUGUUCUGCAUUUCCUUUACCUCCUUCCUGACCUUAGGUCUGGGCACAGGAGGAGGGGCUUGGAGGUGGAGGCUGGAGCUUCUGGGGGUCCUGGCUGCAUGACUCUAAGGAGGGUGGUGCCUUCGUCCCCACCCAACCCCCACCGCAUCGGCCCAUUCUCCUCCCGAAGCAUCCCUGGGCCACAGGUUCCCAAGGCCACCUCCAGACUGGGCCCGCGAGUGGGGCGGCCCUGGUAGCGUAUCCACAGAAGUUAUUAUGAGGUAAUUUUAUUUCUUUCCAUUUUAGGUAAAAAUAGUAAAUACAAGAUAAUCUUAAUAAAGGGAGGAGAAACUCCCAGGAGCCUGGAGAGAAUGGCUCGGCACAGCAGAUGCAGCCGUGGUGGCCAUGGAGCUGACCAGCCUCUUGGGAGUGAGCUGGCCACCUGAGCACGGUCCACUCAGCCCACACAAGCAGCAGCACCACCUCGCUGACAGGAGCUUCGUCAAUGCCUGCCGCCUCCUCCUUCCAUAACGAGGGACCACCUAGCAGGGACUUUCACUUUUAUUUCCACAGAGAACCUUGUGGUUAGAAGUCCAAUGGGUCUAGGCUGUGGGAAUCUUCUUAUUAACCACAAACAGAUGUCAAAAGGAUCUUUCCUAAUACUGUAGAUACUGCACUUGGCUCGUGUGGGAGUCCACUGUCUGUGGAAACAUUACUCGUCUAUUUUUCAGGUCUGCAGAGCCCAGACUGAAAAACACAUUAAAAAAAUGGUUUUGUGAAAAAUAACAAUUCAGACACCCUGGAGCCUAAGGAAAAAAAAAACACAGAAAGCCUCUGAAGUCUGAAGGAGCUGUCUUCCCUUACAACAAAGACCUCACAAAAGCAGAAGGAUUGACAAACAGCUGAAUGAACACCUGAAAUGCUAACAGUCGAGAAAUCGAAUGAAGAGACAAAAAAGCAGCAAACUUAGUAACUAAAUGUGUGUGAACGAUGGUGCUUUUAUCUUCUUGGGAACACUAAGUGAUUUCUCAGAGCCACAACAUGUGAGAAGCUGAUGGAAUAUGUGCUCAGUGACAGCAGCUCUGCCUAGGGCCUGGAUUGUAAGAAGGAGGGGGUGAAUUGGGCUGCUCAUGUUCUCUGCACAUUUGGAAGCUGCUGUGGGAGGAAAGCAAUGCUACUUGGAAGGCCACUGGUAGGCCCAAGGAAAGAGAGGAACCAUACUCAGAUCCCCCCUCAAAUUGUCCUUGCUGCUGUUGACAGCAAAAGUGCCCCAGUGCCUUCUGCUCCUUGCCUCCUCACUGUGUGCUUGGAAGGCUCAAAUAGGUCUCUUCCUGGUGACUGUCAAACACAGGCAAGAAAGGUUCUGAGGAGGGUGCUGGUGCAAAACUACGAAGAUAAAUAAUAGGCAGGUGUCCAGGCAGCAUGACGUGGUGAGAGAGGGGGGGCCCUCUGAGUCAGAGAGAUCUCAAUUCAGUCACUUGUGUGGCCUUGGCCACUGAGCCUCAAUUCCCUCAUCUGUUACAUGGGGUUGAAGACAGUGCCCAUCUCCAAGGAAUAUGGGAGAGUACACGUGAGCUAGUGUCCAGCCUGCAUCCAGGUAUCUUUUAGUGACAUCUCAGGGUUUACUCCAAUUGUGAGCAGAUGAUGACUCAGGACGAUGCCACACAGCCUAGCAGGGUGGAGCCAAGAGCCAAUGUGCAAAGACUGCUUUCUCUCAGCCCCUUUCCUCUGAUGCCUACUGGCUGGCUUUUUGUUUCUUUUCUGUGACAACUAUUUGAAUAAGUCACCUCAGGCUUCUUCUGUGGAGUCACAAAUUACAAAAUGAGCAAAGCUUUCCAAGGUCAUCAGUUGCCUGAAGCUGUAGAUGACCAAUCUCUGUAAUCACAGCAGGAAGUUCCUGGGGAGAUUCAAGGCAGUAUGGACUCAACCAGCGAGGACGGAAGACAGAGAUGGGACUGCUUUGAGACUGCUUUUGAAAAUGGUCUCCUGCUAGGCGUGGUGGCUCAUGCCUGUAAUCCCAGCACUUUGGGAGGCCGAGGCAGGUGGAUCACCUGAGGUCGGGAGUUUGAGACCAGCCUGACCAACAUGGUGAAACCCCAUCUCUACUAAAAAUACAAAAUUAGCCAGGCAUGGUGGCGCAUGCCUGUAAUCCCAGCUACUCGGGAGGCUGAGACAAGAGAAUCACUUGAACCUGGGAGGCGGAGGUUGCAGCGAGCCGAGAUCGCACGAUUGCACACCAGCCUGGGCAACAAGAGUGAAAUCUGUCUAAAAUCAAUAAAUAAAUAAAGUAAAAAAAAAAAGUAAAAAAAGAAAAGAAAAUGGUCUCUUUCAGAAAGGAUUCAUUCUGGAAUGGGACAUUCACACAGAAUUGAUCUUCCUUUAUCUCAGGAGCUAAUUCUGCUCAAAACCUAGGAGAGAUUUGGCCCUAACCCAUUGGGUAUCUAUCUUUUCUGUGACACAGAUAAUCUAUACUUCUCUCUGAAAAGCUGAGAAAUAAAAAUACUUUCACUGACCAAAGGCUUUGGUCUGUAAAAUAGCUCAAAGCAGAUCAAACCAGUCAGUGCCAAUUUUGUGCGCGAUUAAACACAAGAUUUGCCCAUUGCUAAUUUUUCGCCUGUCAUCUGAUAGAACUAUAAGCUCUUUGAGGGAUGAGCCAUUUCUUAAUUGUGCAAUUAAAUUCUCCUAACUGCACAGCUGGCUUCUGAAAUAUGGUUGGAGAGAUUCAGUUAGAGACCUGUAUCUAAAAGAUCUAAGUCUGUAAUUCUCCCUGUGGGAAGGUGGCACCAGGGGCACAUCACCUCCACCCAAAGGAAUGCUCAGGACAGCUUAAAAUUUACAUCUGAUAAGAAAUGAUCAGCAUAGGUGAAACUGCUGAUCAUCGAGAAGUGGAAGACAGGAAAGGAGUGGCCUGCCCUUUUAUAAUUGAUCAUCUGUAGCUAUCGUUUAUCACUGGCGCAUGGGCUGAUCCAAACGGAUACAGAGAUCUGGCAUUCAUUUCCAAAAGCAAUGCAAGGAUUGGAAGCAUAAAAGUUCUUUUUCUAAUUUUUCUGACAACAGACUUGGCAGGCUGGCAGUCCAAGUCUGAAGACACCUAUAUCUACUUGACUGCUUAAGACAGAAACCUGUGAGCCAUGCUGGGUGUGCCUCGCCCUCCCCAUAUGUGCCCAGCAGCUAUAUAUCCAGAAAGUGUAUAGCAUCUGUCUGCUUUUCUCUAUCACCCUGCUCGUACCCCAAUCCAAGCAACCAUGCCUUGUACCUGAAUGACUGUCACAUCCUCCUCACUGGUAUCCCUGCUUUUACUCUUGUCCCCACCUGUCUCUUCUCAUUAUAGCAGUUAGGUGGUUUUCUUAAAGCGCGAAUACAAUUUCAUCAUCUCCCCUCCUGGGCAAAGUUACCCUCUCCCCCAUCCUGACAGUGGUCUGGCCCUCUGACCUCACUCCCUCCACCCUCUGCUUCCACAGGGCCCAGCUGCCCUGGACCUGCCACCCUUCUCUUCCUCUGCCUGGAAGGCCAUAUAUGGCUGCCUCCUGCAUCCGAGUGGUCUCGGCUGACUGUUCUCUCCUUGAAGAUGUCCUCUCUGAAAACUAUAUCUAGGCUGAAGCUCCCUAUUUUUCUCUGUUUUUGAGUCCUCCUGUUUGCUUUUUGUCACUAUUACCAGUUUGAGGGCAUACACUUAUCUGUGUGUUGACUUGUUUAUUGUCCAUCAUCACUAGACUGGAGGUGCCACUGAGGGAGGAACCACAUCUGUAUCUGUAUCCCCAGGAAGUAGCACAGUGCCUGACAUAUAGUAAGUACUCAAUAAAUAUUUGUACAAUAAAGGAAGGAAUGAAGCUGUGUUCUCGGGGGAUGACACAGUCAUGGGACUAAAUCUGUGUCUUAGUGGAGUCUACUUCUGCCCAUGCUUGGAUGCUUGGGAAAGGGGUGGUUACCUGGUAUCUGGUGGGCUUGCUCAAAGUGUUAUUUGCUGUCAGAUUUUCAGAAUUCCUCAUGCCAGCCUGGUAGCGAGUCUUCUGGAUAAAACAAACAAACCCACACACAUCACACAGAAAAACAUACAUGCAUCCCUACAUAUCUCGUAGGACUUGAACAGUAUCCAUAUACGGGGCUGUCUCAGUGAAGCAGCUUUUGAAAGCUGAUUUACCUGGUGCUGCUUGGCUUCCUAGAACAUUGUUCCUAGGACCUUUAGCUCUGUAGGAUGUUAAUAAGGGUUACAGAAUAUUUAGUCAACUUGGUUGGAAAGCACUGAAUUAAGGUUACAUGGAUGUCUUUUCUCCAGGGGUUUUAACAUACUAAUAAACACUGAGAAUCCCCAGGAAAGCCAGACAGUGGGAAGGAAACCUUUUUCUCAGAGAUCAUUUUCCAGAUACUUUCUGAGAAAAGCUGUUCCAUUUCCAAGUCCACUAAGGGGUUCCCUUCACUGGGGUCAUGGCUUAGCCAGGCAGCUUACUAUGUCCCCAGCAGGGCACCUCUCCAAGGGGUUGCAAGGAGAAAGGAGGGUAUCACAGUAGCCUCUGCUGGCAUUGGAGCUUUCAGAUGUGUCCAGGUAGACUCUACAGAGUACCGGCCCUCCCAGCUCCUGGCUCCCCUUGCAUGGGGUGGGGGAGGGCAGCCAUAUGACUCAAACACACUCUAGACUCGCCUGCCCCCUCCUGCUGCCUUCUCCAGCCUCAUAAACCACAUGCUACCUACCUUGAAUUUGGAAUUCAGCAUGCCCAUUUCAAGGUCAUUUUCACAGCUUUUGGCCUUAGAUUUGCAGAGUUUUAUGAGGCACAUCUUGAUUCUCAU
rnacentral:lncRNA from 10 species